CCUUCAAUAGCUCAGUUGGUAGAGCGGAGGACUGUAGUAAUCCUUAGGUCCCUGGUUCGAAUCCGGGUUGAAGGA
rnacentral:tRNA from 1 species